AACGAACGCUGGCGGCAUGCCUAACACAUGCAAGUCGAACGAGAUCUUCGGGUCUAGUGGCGCACGGGUGCGUAACGCGUGGGAAUCUGCCCUUUGGUUCGGAAUAACAGUUGGAAACGACUGCUAAUACCGGAUGAUGACGAAAGUCCAAAGAUUUAUCGCCAGAGGAUGAGCCCGCGUAGGAUUAGCUAGUUGGUGUGGUAAAGGCGCACCAAGGCGACGAUCCUUAGCUGGUCUGAGAGGAUGAUCAGCCACACUGGGACUGAGACACGGCCCAGAAGCCGACAGGAGGCAGCAGUGGGGAAUAUUGGACAAUGGGCGAAAGCCUGAUCCAGCAAUGCCGCGUGAGUGAUGAAGGCCUUAGGGUUGUAAAGCUCUUUUGCCCGGGAUGAUAAUGACAGUACCGGGAGAAUAAGCUCCGGCUAACUCCGUGCCAGCCGCCGCAGUAA
rnacentral:rRNA from 1 species